rnacentral:lncRNA from 1 species
AGAUGGAGCAUAAAAUUGGGCGGACUGACUCAGAGGCUCCUCUGCAACAUCAGGCAACCAAGGCCUGCGCUCUCCUUUUCCUGAGGAGACUCCCUGGAACCUUCAAGAACCCCCCGACAGCCACCAGGAUACCCGGUCUGAAUGGUUUCCUACCAAGAAAGACCCCGAAGACCUGCAGUUCUGUCCAGAAACGAGUUUUUAGGGUCACUUGAAUUUGAGCUGCUGCGAGGGCGGUGCUUUAGGGAGCAGAGUUCAAAGAGGAAUUCCUCAGGACCCUAGGCCAGGUCCGCGUUAAAGGGCGCCUUACAAACCUCCUCUCCCCACACUCCCCCGCAGCCCCUUCCCCAACGUUUAAGGCACCGGAUCUUGAGAAGCAAAUCUAGUGCCCAGCUUCAAAUCCCCGCCUUGGAAAAGUACAAAGAGAAAACUGAUUUUUCAAAUCCCAAAGCCCUUUCCUUUUAAGCAACUUGGAAAAACUCAGCUAUAAACGCUUUCUCCUCUUAUGCUAAAAUUGAAAACUUAUAGAUUUUAGAUGGAAUGAAGAGAAGAUAUAUUCCUUUUCCCUUUAAAUAGCCACAUUUCAAAUUGUGCCAGGCAGCAAUUUCUGCGAAAAAGGAGUGGCGGUUGGGAUUGUUUGGGAGAUGGAGUUUUAUUUGUUCCCAUUUAUUUUGUUUUAUUUUUGUUUUAUUUUUUUCUUUGAGUUUCUUUGUUAUUUUGAGAUUCAUCUAAGAGACUCAGAAUUCCACUCUGAAUAAAGCACUUUUUGUUGUUUCAAAAUUUCAAACUGACAUAAGUGUUGGAUCAUCAGUUUUCCCUUUGUCUGCCCUAGUUGUAAAUAAUGGCUUUGAGAUUAGCUAAUUAAGGGGCAUUAAUCACUGAUAGAAAGGGAAUAAAUCAAAGCCUUGUUCUAAAUUUCAAACUUGCCUGUAUAGAUGUGCAUAGCUACUCUAUCUGGAGCAGAUAGGUGCUGUUUGAAUUACUGUUCUUCAGAGUAAACCAAAUCCAC